rnacentral:rRNA from 1 species
UGGGGAAUUUUGGACAAUGGGCGAAAGCCUGAUCCAGCAAUGCCGCGUGUGUGAAGAAGGCCUUCGGGUUGUAAAGCACUUUUGUCCGGAAAGAAAUCCUUGGCUCUAAUACAGUCGGGGGAUGACGGUACCGGAAGAAUAAGCACCGGCUAACUACGUGCCAGCAGCCGCGGUAAUACGUAGGGUGCAAGCGUUAAUCGGAAUUACUGGGCGUAAAGCGUGCGCAGGCGGUUUGCUAAGACCGAUGUGAAAUCCCCGGGCUCAACCUGGGAACUGCAUUGGUGACUGGCAGGCUAGAGUAUGGCAGAGGGGGGUUAGAAUUCCACGUGUAGCAGUGAAAUGCGUAGAGAUGUGGAGGAAUACCGAUGGCGAAGGCAGCCCCCUGGGCCAAUACUGACGCUCAUGCACGAAAGCGUGGGGAGCAAACAGGAUUAGAUACCCUGGUAGUCCACGCCCUAAAACGAUGUCAACUAGUUGUUGGGGAUUCAUUUCCUUAGUAACGUAGCUAACGCGUGAAGUUGACCGCCUGGGGAGUACGGUCGCAAGAUUAAAACUUAAAGGAAUUGACGGGGUCAUAGCUGUUUCCU